GUAUGGUCAAAGCAUGAGAGACCCUUAGACCAAAGGGUAAACAAGCUCAAAAGAAAGACAGCUGAAAAGGAAAAUUCACCAGCGUCCAGAGCUGACAGAUGGAAGAAGCCAGCCUGGGAAAAUCACCUGAUGAUGCCAUAGUUAGAGCUACAAGGACAUCUCCAGCGGAACCACCAAAGAACCAGGAAUCUGCUCUGAGACCUUUAACAAUGAAGAGUGCAGACGUAGCAUCCAAAGCUCAGAUACGUCAAACCCAAGGACAAAACAAAAGUCUCUGCUGCUUCACCGGUUAUCAUGAAAAAGCACAGAAUCCUAGGAUGGGGGCAGCCUUCAGGUUUCUUUAUUACAAGAUGCAACUCAAGACCAACUGUCUGAAAAGACUAGGGUAUGUAGUCAGGACCCUCUGAGAGCACGAGUGGGAGACGAUAGUAGAAACAGACAGGGAGCUUGCAGAUUUCUUAAACAAAGCCCAGUUGCCUCAGUCUCUGGUGCCUAGUGAUGCUCUUUUUGCUGGGAGAACUAAUGCUAUCCACCUAUAUUACAAACCUAAGCCGGGGAAGAAAUCCACUAUUACGAUUUUACCAGCCUGUACCCUUUCGUAAACAAAAAUCAAAGAAUACCCAAUUACACCCCCACUACAGUUCAUGACAAAUUUGGACCCCAUAAAAUUAUUUUGGAAUUGUGAAAGUUAAAGUGUAUCCCGUGAGGCCUCUUUCCCCGAUGUUACCUGUCAGAGCGGGUGGCAAACGUACGUUCCCGCUCUGCCGAACUUCUGCCAAAACCGAGCAGCGGGAGAUGUGCGCCCAUACUGAUGAGGAGAGAGUCAUCCUGGGGACUUGGUGCACGGUGGAAUUGAACAUGGCUGUAGCGAAGGGGAACGUGAAGGCAACAAAUCUACAAAAUCUGGAAUUUUGAAGAAAAGUUUUUGACAAACUCUUUUCAGAGUACAUAAAAUUACACCUCCAUCAGAAACAAGAGGCGUCAGAGUAUCCCAGCUGGUGCACAGAUGAAGAAAAACAAAAUAAGUAUGUUAAUGAUUUCUAUUGGAAAGAAGGUGUGCAUUUACGCCAACAUGAGAUCAUGGUGAAAAGGCUAAACUUUAUGGCAUUGUGCUUCACGGGUACCCAACAUACGUGAGGCAGAGCGAUGCAGAUGAAGGGAAAAUAAGUCUGUUUCUCCCAGAACAGGAAUGCAGCAUGACUACCAAACCUCCAGAAACACUAAAGACCUCGGAUUGUGUUGCU